GAAGGCAGGCGAGUUGCUAACCGGCAGUUUUGGUAGACGGUCAUUCUGCGGAACAUUCUACGGGAAGCACACAUCAUUCUGCGGUCAUUCUGUGGACAGAUCAUUUGUUUUGUUUUGUGUGUCGUUCACACAGUCACAGUUUCACACACUCAAUAGCAACCGGCUUUGCCUGCUUUAUUACGUGGGGCUAAUGAAGAGCAAGCAGCAACCAACUGUAGAAAAAUACCUAUUGAUCUUGAACAGCUGAAAGAUUAUCUUGCCAGUGAUUUCAAAAAUCGGGGGAUUUCUGUUUUGAUGCAGAUCAGUGAACCAACACUCUUAAACGUAGAAUCAAGAGCAUGGUUUAUCAAAAGAGAAAGCUACUCCAACAUUUCUGAUAAUGAUCUUGAUAUUGUGAUUGCCAACGUGCUCAAAAGGUUUCCCAAGUUUGGUCUACAUUUGUUGCAAGGCAAACUUGUUGCAAAUGGGUACAAAUUGCAAGAGAAGCGUUUGCAAGCUUCCUAUGCUAGAAUUGGGCUGAAGAAAGCUUAACCUGGCUUGAAACAGAUUCCUCGUGUGGUUUAUUACGCAGAUUCCCCUUUACAAAUGUGUCACAUGGAUGGAUUCCACAAAUUUGAUGGAUGGGGAUUUGUUCAUGGAAUUGUUGAUGGACAUAGUAAGGCGAUAGUGGGAAUGCAAGUUAGUGACAAUAACCGUUUGACUGUUGUCAAACUGUUGCAUUCCAGCUGCAUCAUUUGGGGAACUACAGCUUGUUUAAGAACUGAUCGGGGAGGAGAAAAUGUAUUAGCAACUGAUUACAUGUUAAAUGUGCGGGGUGUAAAUAGAUUCAGUUUUUUCGCUGGCUCUUCCAUGCGGAAUCAAAGAAUUGAACGUCAGUGGAGAGACACGAAUCAACGUGGUGUUCGACCGUUACUGAACACGUUUAAAGACAUGGAGAAUGCAGGGGUUAUCCAAAGUGACUCCGAACUAGAUCUUUUCAUUUUACAUCAGGUGGCAACUAAUCUAUUCCAGAGGACUCUAGAAACAUACGUAGACUCUUGGAACAACCAUCCUGUACGGACGGAAUGGAAAAAAAACUCCAAAUCAGCUAUAUAUUUCCGGCUUGGUACUACUUAAGCAACUUCAGGAAGAAGGACAAUUUCUCCGACCACGGGUCGAACUUCUCCAGGAUGAUGUUCUUCAUCUUCCGGAUAAUUUCAAUGACAUGGAGUAUUUGGAAUCGAUCGUCGGGCAAUUCCGACAAGCACGAGAAGUCCCCAAAUUCACUAAUCCCUUGAACGCUGAAGAAUUCGUCGAACUUCAUCAAAUAGUUAAUCCACAAUCAGUUAAAUUAGACAAUUUAAGUGAGAAAUUUAUCCUUGCCAAAAGAUUUGCAAUUUUCGUAUUAAGUAACAGGAAUGAGAUUGCAUUGUAAAAUAAACGUCAUUACUGCUA
rnacentral:lncRNA from 1 species